rnacentral:rRNA from 1 species
UACGUAGGGGGCAAGCGUUGUCCGGAAUUAUUGGGCGUAAAGAGCGUGUAGGCGGUCCGGUAAGUCGGCUGUGAAAGUCCAGGGCUCAACCCUGGAAUGCGGGUGGAUACUGCCGGGCUAGAAUCCGGAAGAGGCGAGUGGAAUUCCUGGUGUAGCGGUGGAAUGCGCAGAUAUCAGGAGGAACACCAAUAGCGAAGGCAGCUCGCUGGGACGGUAUUGACGCUAAGGCGCGAAAGCGUGGGGAGCAAACAGG